CCCAAGAUGGCGCAGUCAGAGGACCUAGCCAAAGGAAUGAGAUUCAGGAUGAGGAAAUGGGGCAAAAGCCAAGGAAUCCCAACAGCCUUAGCCUUCAUGGGCUUUGUAACCUUUGCCAGCUCCUGAAGACCUAGUCCUGAGCACCCCAUGCACCCAAGUCACAACUCAAGAUCGGCUGAUCUGAGGAACGGUUACCAACCCACCAGACCGCCUCUCUUUAAACUUGGACCUAAGAAACAAAGGCAGGUUGUCUAGAGUCUUGCUAGAGUCGGUGUUACAGCUGCUCAAAGCCACAUGCAAACCAAAGCAGCGAGAGCAAGAACCCAAGGGGGAGAGAGGGCCGGUCAUUCAAGAGGAAAAGCGGAGUCCAGAGCCCAGCUGCUGGUUCCCACUCUGCAGUUCCCGCACUCGCGCCUGCUCCCGGGCCAGUCUGAGAGGAAAGAUGCGAGAGGUGAUGUCGGGCCUUGAAGAAAGCAGAGACUCGGACAACAGGAAGGCCCACAAGGAAAGGUGGGACACGGGAAAUUGUGAGAGGAGCUGGGGCCAGUGCAGAAGAGACCAAGGCUGCAGGGGAAGGGACCAAGGCCUGACAUGGAGACUCCAGGGUC